rnacentral:rRNA from 1 species
CCUACGGGAGGCAGCAGUGGGGAAUUUUGGACAAUGGACGCAAGUCUGAUCCAGCCAUUCCGCGUGCAGGACGAAGGCCUUCGGGUUGUAAACUGCUUUUGUACGGAACGAAAAAAGCUCUUAUUAAUACUAGGAGUCCAUGACGGUACCGUAAGAAUAAGCACCGGCUAACUACGUGCCAGCAGCCGCGGUAAUACGUAGGGUGCAAGCGUUAAUCGGAAUUACUGGGCGUAAAGCGUGCGCAGGCGGUUAUAUAAGACAGAUGUGAAAUCCCCGAGCUUAACUUGGGAACUGCAUUUGUGACUGUAUAGCUAGAGUACGGCAGAGGGGGAUGGAAUUCCGCGUGUAGCAGUGAAAUGCGUAGAUAUGCGGAGGAACACCGAUGGCGAAGGCAAUCCCCUGGGCCUGUACUGACGCUCAUGCACGAAAGCGUGGGGAGCAAACAGGAUUAGAUACCCUGGUAGUCCACGCCCUAAACGAUGUCAACUGGUUGUUGGGUCUUCACUGACUCAGUAACGAAGCUAACGCGUGAAGUUGACCGCCUGGGGAGUACGGCCGCAAGGUUGAAACGUCAAAGGAAUUGACGG